UACGUAGGUGGCAAGCGUUAUCCGGAAUUAUUGGGCGUAAAGCGCGCGCAGGUGGUUUCUUAAGUCUGAUGUGAAAGCCCACGGCUCAACCGUGGAGGGUCAUUGGAAACUGGGAGACUUGAGUGCAGAAGAGGAAAGUGGAAUUCCAUGUGUAGCGGUGAAAUGCGUAGAGAUAUGGAGGGGCACCAGUGGCGAAGGCGACUUUCUGGUCUGUAACUGACACUGAGGCGCGAAAGCGUGGGGAGCAAACAGGAUUAGAAACCCGAGUAGUCC
rnacentral:rRNA from 1 species